rnacentral:rRNA from 1 species
GCUACCAUGCAGUCGAGGGGUAGGGUUACUUCGGUAAUCUGAGACCCCCGCACGGGUGCGUAACGCGUAUGCAAUCUACCUUUUACUAUGGGAUAGCCCAGAGAAAUUUGGAUUAAUACCAUAUAGUAUAUUUGAAUGGCAUCGUUUGAAUAUUAAAGAUUUAUCGGUAAAAGAUGAGCAUGCGUCCCAUUAGUUAGUUGGUGUGGUAACGGCAUACCAAGACGAUGAUGGGUAGGGGUCCUGAGAGGGAGAUCCCCCACACUGGUACUGAGACACGGACCAGACUCCUACGGGAGGCAGCAGUAAGGAAUAUUGGUCAAUGGAGGCAACUCUGAACCAGCCAUGCCGCGUGCAGGAUGACGGUCCUAUGGAUUGUAAACUGCUUUUGUACGGGAAUAAAACAAACUACGAGUAGUUAAUUGACGGUACCGUAAGAAUAAGGAUCGGCUAACUCCGUGCCAGCAGCCGCGGUAAUACGGAGGAUCCAAGCGUUAUCCGGAAUCAUUGGGUUUAAAGGGUCCGUAGGCGGCCUUAUAAGUCAGUGGUGAAAGUUUUUGGCUUAACUAAAAUUGCCAUUGAUACUGUUCGGCUUGAAUAUCUGUGAAGUAACUAGAAUAUGUAGUGUAGCGGUGAAAUGCUUAGAUAUUACAUGGAAUACCGAUUGCGAAGGCAGGUUACUAACAGAUGAUUGACGCUGAUGGACGAAAGCGUGGGUAGCGAACAGGAUUAGAUACCCUGGUAGUCCACGCCGUAAACGAUGGAUACUAGCUGUUUGGUUUUCGGACUGAGUGGCUAAGCGAAAGUGAUAAGUAUCCCACCUGGGGAGUACGGUCGCAAGACUGAAACUCAAAGGAAUUGACGGGGGCCCGCACAAGCAGUGGGGCAUGUGGUUUAAUUCGAUGAUACGCGAGGAACCUUACCAGGGCUUAAAUGUAGAUUGACAGAUUUGGAAGCAGAUUUUUCUUCGGACAAUUUACAAGGUGCUGCAUGGUUGUCGUCAGCUCGUGCCGUGAGGUGUCAGGUUAAGUCCUAUAACGAGCGCAACCCCUGUUGUUAGUUGCCAGCACGUAAUGGUGGGAACUCUAGCAAGACUGCCAGUGUAACUGUGAGGAAGGCGGGGAUGACGUCAAUCAUCACGGCCCUUACGUCCUGGGCCACCACGUGCUACAAUGGCCGGUACAAAAGCAGCCCUUGGCGACAAGGACGAAUCUAAAAGCCGGUCGAGUUCGGAUCGGAGUCUGCACUCCAUCCGGAAGCUGAAUCCUAGUAUCG